GUCACGGCAGUGCUAAUUUAAGUGUUUGUUCUAUACAUUUUAAGGAUGACUGUUUUGAGAACAAAUACCAAUAUGAUGCUGGCUUUGCCAAAAAACUGUUGCUCAAAGACAAGGCCGUGCCGACUAUUCUGUGCUCAACAACGACAACGCAAACUAGACCGCCAUGUUCAGGCCCCAUAUCAAAAGAUGUUGGCUGUCAAACUGACCAACCCACUAAUACAUCUGUGGGCACACAGCUGUCGUUUCGAACAAUGAGACCCAAGUGUCGUAGCAAAGAAACACAAACAGAGCAGUCCUCAAUUCUUUCAAGUGGUGAUGUCGCCAUACCCUGGACUACUUCACAUCCUUUUACUUCAACACCUUUAAAAGAUGAAAAGCCUUCCAAAAGGCGUCGCUUUGAAUUGGAGGAGGAAGAAAGUGUGUCUUUUGAAGAAGUCUGUGACACUCAGGACGUAACAUAUGACCCUGCUCAGUCUGUCACCAGUGUGACUGAACCAUCAAAGCAUUACAUGUACACAUCCAAAGCCUCUCAUGAAGACACCAAAUAUAUUGUGUUUGAAAACUUUCUUCUUGAACUGUUUGAGACCUGUCCAGUAUGUUCAAGAGCCUGCAAUAUUCAGCCUCGUAGCAAUGGGACUUUUUUGGCCAUUGAUCAACGUUGCCUGCAUUGCGAGUACUUCAGACAGUGGAAGAGCCAACCCUGUGUUGGCAGUACCCCUGUUGGUAAC